CUUGGUUAUUCUUUAUUUCGUUAUAUUAUGAAUGCAUACCUAUGUAACCCCUUUUCAGGUUUUACGUCUUCCAGCAUGGUUCUAACUCCCGAAUUUACAAUUAUAAAUAAAAUAUUCUUAUUAUUACUUAGUUUAAUUAUUUUGCUUAAUAUUAUUUGAAUGAAAAUCCUACGACUCCGACCUCGGUCUCGGUCAUAGGUCGGUUAUUCACUCACAAUAAUCGAAUGAUGCUCAACUCCCUCACGACGGUUGCCACCCCAACAUCGUUUGGUAAGUGAAUUUUCUGUGAGACCCACCGAGAUCUUAGGAUAGGUAGAGACAGGGAGGACGAGACGUCACAAUCCCUGUAAAACCAUCGCUCCACUUAUCAUCUAAAAUACAAUUAAAAUAUCUUGUUGCGUUCGGAUUUGCACAAAUAGAGGGGAAAUUAAUUUUGCUGUUACCAAAGAUAGAGAGUUAUUAAAUUUAAAGAAGGUAAUUUUAGAAAUAGAUCUAAAUCCCUCCUUAAGAGUUUGUUCAAGCCAUUUUUAGACAUAAGGAUUAAGGUUGUUAUAAAAUGAGUAUCGUAUACAUUCGAAUGGGGUCAGACCAUCAUACACAUAUUAGGCAGCUGCCCGCAUUAAACAGUAGCCACAUUAAGCAGAAUCCACUGAAUUCCUUUUAUUACUUUUUAUAGGCAAGCUAGAAAACGAUGGGUUAGGAAGUAAGUUUAUUUUUAUUAAUAAUCAAUAAUGUCCUCAAAAGAAAGUUGAUUUAUGAAGAUAUAUAGUUGAUACGCCGUUAUUACCGUACAAGGUUAGCUAUAGUACAAGAUUAUAUGAUAAAUAUGAGGUAGCCAUUUCCCUAUUAUAUUUGCUCUCUAGUUGUCAUUAGUGGACAAGCUUUGAAUGUAUAAUAUACAUAAAAUAACGGAAAAUUAGGUAUAAUGAUUAAUGAUUUCCCUAUUUAAGUCUAUUGAAUAGAGUCAGAUUUACACAUUUAAUAGGUUUCGGUUUUCUGAAUAUAAUGAUAUAAAUUAAAUUUAAACUAUGCUAUUCACGUGCUUGAAACAAUUUUAUUUUAAAUUAAUUGUUUUCUGUAACAUACAUAAUCAUAUAAGAGAUACAAAUAUUGCUUGUUUCUUUUCUUUUUUUAACAAAUAAUAUUUCACUUAUGAAUAUAAAAUUUUAUUCGGAAAGAUAUUAUAUCGUAAAACAUUUUUUUCGUUUAUAAACUUUAUUAAUAUACAUGAUAUUUUUUUUUUAUUUUUCGUGUAAUAUAGAUUUAGUUUACAGAG